rnacentral:rRNA from 1 species
AGAGUUUGAUCCUGGCUCAGGAUGAACGUUGGCUGUGUGCCUAAGGUAUGCAAGUCGAACGAUCCUUUUCUGAAUUUCAAAGACUUUGGUCAAUGAUUUUCUAUUUAGGAUAGUGGCAAACGGGUGAGUAAUACGUAGAUAACUUGCCUUGAAGUCGGGAAUAGCUCGUCGAAAGACGGGGUAAUAUCCGAUAGUCUCUAUUCACGUUAAGUGUUUUAGAGUAAAGUUUUUCGCUUCAAGAGAGGUCUGCGUCCUAUCAGCUAGUUGGUGAGGUAAUAGCUCACCAAGGCUAAGACGGGUAACUGGUGUGAGAGCACGGUCAGCCACCGCGGAACUGAGACACGGUCCGCACUCCUACGGGAGGCAGCAAUUAGGAAUCUUGCGCAAUGGGGGCAACCCUGACGCAGCGACACAGCGUGGAGGAUGAAGGUCUUCGGAUUGUAAACUCCUUUUAUAUGGGAAGAAUAAAUGACUGUACCAUAUGAAUAAGUACCUGCUAACUACGUGCCAGAAGCAUCGGUGAUGCGUAGGGUACAAACGUUAUCCGGAUUUACUGGGCGUAUAGAGAUGCGUAGGCGGUUUGAUAAGUCGUAAGUUAAAGACCUCGGCUCAACCGAGGGAGAGCUUUCGAAACUAUCAGACUUGAGACAUAGAGGGGUGAACGGAAUUCCGAGUGGAGUGGUGAAAUACGUUGAUAUUCGGAGGAACAUCAGUGGCGAAGGCGGUUCACUGGCUAUUGUCUGACGCUAAAGGCUCGAAAGCGUGGGUAGCAAAACGGAUUAGAUACCCGUGUAGUCCACGCUGUAAACUAUGGAUGCUAGGUGUUUGGUAUGACUACUUUCAAUCUUCGGAUUCUAAAUGGAAGUACUGAGUGCCGCAGCUAACGCGUUAAGCAUCCCGCCUGGGAAGUACGGCCGCAAGCUAAAACUCAAUGAAUUGACGG